rnacentral:rRNA from 1 species
AUUGAACGCUGGCGGCAGGCCUAACACAUGCAAGUCGAGCGAGCGGCGGACGGGUGUGUAAUGUCUGGGAAAAUGCCUGAUGGGGGGGGAUAACUACUGGAAACGGUAGCUAAUAUCGCAUACCAUCAGAUGUGCCCACAUGGGAUUAGCUAGUAGGGGGGGGAAUGGCUCACCGAGGCGACGAUCCCUAGCUGGUCUGAGAGGAGGACCAGCCACACUGGAACUGAGACACGGUCCAGACUCCUACGGGAGGCAGCAGUGGGGAAUAUUGCACAAUGGGCGCAAGCCUGAUGCAGCCAUGCCGCGUGUGUGAAGAAGGCCUUCGGGUUGUAAAGCACUUUCAGCGGGGAGGCGUUACCCGCAGAAGAAGCACCGGCUAACUCCGUGCCAGCAGCCGCGGUAAUUC